AGUGAACGCUGGCGGUAGGCCUAACACAUGCAAGUCGAACGGCAGCACAGUAAGAGCUUGCUCUUACGGGUGGCGAGUGGCGGACGGGUGAGGAAUAUAUCGGAAUCUACUUUUUCGUGGGGGUUAACGUAGGGAAACUUACGCUAAUACCGCAUACGACCUACGGGUGAAAGCAGGGGAUCUUCGGACCUUGCGCGAUUGAAUGAGCCGAUGUCGGAUUAGCUAGUUGGCGGGGUAAAGGCCCACCAAGGCGACGAUCCGUAGCUGGUCUGAGAGGAUGGUCGGCCACACUGGAACGGGAACACGGUCCAUGCUCCUACGGGAGGCAGCAGUGGGGAAUAGUAGACAAUAGGCGCAAGCCUGAUCCAGCCAUACCGCGUGUGUGAAGAAGGCCUUCGGGGUGUAAAGCCCUUUUGUUGGGAAAGAAAAGCAGCAGGUUAAUACCCCGCGGUACUGACGGUACCCAAAGAAGAAGCACCGGCUAACUUCGUG
rnacentral:rRNA from 1 species